rnacentral:lncRNA from 1 species
CUCCCCCGUGUCUCGCCCCCGUGUCUCGCAGGCGGCUGUGGAGCCCCCGCAGCAGCGAUGGAGCCCCGCUGCCCGCCCUGGCUGCAGAGCUUUGCCCGGCCGUGCCGCCUCCUGCUCCACGCGCUGGCCUCCGGCCCCGCCGGGGCACUCGCCGCCCUCCGGAUGCUGCAGCGGGACCAGCCCCGCGAGGGACCGGGACAGGCGUUCCCCUGGCAGGCCCUCACCGCAGCCCUGUGCGCCGAGGAGCCCGUGCUGGAGGAACCACAGGGCGUCCUGGCAGUGUGAGUCAGAUGCGUUUCUAAAACUUGGUGUUUGUGGGAGGUUUGGCGUGUCAGAUGCCUAAUUUGAGUCCGCAUGUCCACUUACCCCAGUGCAGCGGUCCAUGCCUGAGUCUGGGAUCGUAGCAGCGGCCAGCUGGUCUCCCAGCUUGUGUCUGCAAAAGCUGGUGAAGGCGUUAGCUGCUGCCUCCUCUUGCUCCAUAGAGAGGCACACAGGGCAGCUUGGAGUCAGGACGAGGAGGUUUGCUGUGACAAGUUGCCUUUCCUUUUCUCCCCUUACCCAGCAAGCCACGGCUGCUGCUGCUGCCCAUCAUGUGCCAGAGAAACUUCUUCUCCCUGCUCCUCAUGAUGCGGGAUGCAGUACCAGGAGGCUGCCUUGGCCAGCUGCUCCAGGCCAUGGAACAGGAUUCCCAUGUGGAUCCCUGGAUGCGGACGCUGGGGGGUCUGCUCCAGCAGGGACCAAGAACAGAAGAGCGCUUCCCAUCUCCCACUCCACUCUCGUCUACAUGCCAGCAGCAGCUUAGGUGCCUGUGCCAGAAAAUUGCCCAGAACAAACCAGAGGGGCAAAGGAAAUUGAACUGGUGCUUUAGGAAGCAACCUGGUGCCACUGGAGAUGUGGCUGACUCUGUGCCUCAAGGUGGAAAGCGCAAGAAAGUGUUGGAGGAGGGAGCGGAGUUGGUCAGUGACAGAGAGAGGAAGAGAUUGCUGCUGGAGGAGGUGGCGUUUGACCCUCUGGGACCCCAGGAAUGUGGGGAUGUGACAGGGAUAGAAGAGGAGGUGCCUGAGGAGCCUUCAGUGGGUACAUGUGCUGAGAGCACAGAUGGGGCUGCUCCAGACAGCUCCCAGCAGGAUGCAGUUGGGGAGCUCAGGAAGAGUCCUGAAACAGAGCUGGCAGCAGAGGCCCAGUCCUUUCUCCAGGUACUGGGUAGGGUUUGCUCUCCCCUUCCAGACAGUGAGCCUUUACAGCCUGAUUCCCCUUCCUUCAUCUCAUUUCCCUCAGAUGCAUGGACAGAAGCUGAAAAUGCUGCUGCUGCAGGAGUCCAGCCACUCCGAGCUGAGCAUCCCGCCUGAGCUGUGCAUCCUGAACAGCUGCUCCCCCAGCCAGGUGAGUCUCAGCAUCCCUGCUGCAGCUGCCAGUAUUGCGGAGGGCCUGCUGCCAUCCCUAACGUCCCAUCCCCUCUGCCAUCCCCAGCUUGAAGGACUGUGCUCCUUCCUCCAGCUGUCUGUGUGCCCAGAGCCCUUCAUGGGGCGUUUCUGCAGGUGGCUGCUGGCUCUCACCCCUGACCUCAGCUACACCAGCGCGGCCAUCCUGGCAGAGCAGCUCUUCCUCAGGCGAGUACGUGCAAGGGCAGCAGAAGUUUCCUGCUCCCUGUUUCCCUUCUCCACCAUCCCCACCUCCUACCUUUUCUGUCCCUAGGUCCUGUCCCUUACCCAACCACCUUCCCGACACCUCAUGGCUGCCCUCGCUUCAUUUUGCUCCAAGUAUUCCCAACCCUUCUGCCAUGUGCUGGUGGCUGCGGUCCUGCAGGAGCCAGGGGAAGGUGCGGUGGGCUUGUGGGAGACAUGGCUGUGGGAGCUGGAGAAGGACCCUGUGCUGGUUUAAAAGUUAACCAGCAGGGGGAAUGAACCCAACUCAAAGGAGAGAUUAUAAG